AUUGAACGCUGGCGGCAGGCCUAACACAUGCAAGUCGAGCGAGCGGCGGACGGGUGAGUAAUGUAUGGGAAACUGCCUGCUGGAGGGGGAUAACUACUGGAAACGGUAGCUAAUUACGCCUACCAUCAGAUGUGCCCAGAUGGGAUUAGCUAGUAGGUGGGGUAACGGCUCACCUAGGCGACGAUCCAUCGCUGGUCUGAGAGGAUGAACAGCCAGACUGGAACUGAGACACGGUCCAGACUCCUACGGGAGGCAGCAGUGGGGAAUAGUGCACAAUGGGCGCAAGCCUGAUGCAGCCAUGCCGCGUGUGUGAAGAAGGCCUUCGGGUUGUAAAGCACUUUCAGCGAGGAGGCGUUACCCGCAGAAGAAGCACCGGCUAACUCCGUGCCAGCAGCCGCGGUAAUAC
rnacentral:rRNA from 1 species